rnacentral:rRNA from 1 species
GAUGAACGCUGGCGGCGUGCUUAACACAUGCAAGUCGAACGAAGCAUUUAAGACAGAUUACUUCGGUUUGAAGUCUUUUAUGACUGAGUGGCGGACGGGUGAGUAACGCGUGGGUAACCUGCCUCAUACAGGGGGAUAGCAGCUGGAAACGGCUGGUAAUACCGCAUAAGCGCACAGUACCACAUGGUACAGUGUGAAAAACUCCGGUGGUAUGAGAUGGACCCGCGUCUGAUUAGCUUGUUGGCGGGGUAACGGCCCACCAAGGCGACGAUCAGUAGCCGACCUGAGAGGGUGACCGGCCACAUUGGGACUGAGACACGGCCCAGACUCCUACGGGAGGCAGCAGUGGGGAAUAUUGCACAAUGGAGGAAACUCUGAUGCAGCGACGCCGCGUGUGUGAAGAAGUAGUUCGCUAUGUAAAGCUCUAUCAGCAGGGAAGAUAGUGACGGUACCUGACUAAGAAGCUCCGGCUAAAUACGUG